rnacentral:rRNA from 1 species
GACGAACGCUGGCGGCGUGCUUAACACAUGCAAGUCGAACGGAAAGGCCCUGCUUGCAGGGUACUCGAGUGGCGAACGGGUGAGUAACACGUGGGUAAUCUGCCCUGCACUUCGGGAUAAGCCUGGGAAACUGGGUCUAAUACCGGAUAGGAGCCAUUUUUAGUGUGAUGGUUGGAAAGUUUUUUCGGUGUAGGAUGAGCUCGCGGCCUAUCAGCUUGUUGGUGGGGUAAUGGCCUACCAAGGCGGCGACGGGUAGCCGGCCUGAGAGGGUGGACGGCCACAUUGGGACUGAGAUACGGCCCAGACUCCUACGGGAGGCAGCAGUGGGGAAUAUUGCACAAUGGGCGCAAGCCUGAUGCAGCGACGCCGCGUGGGGGAUGACGGCCUUCGGGUUGUAAACUCCUUUCGCUAGGGACGAAGCUUUUUGUGACGGUACCUAGAUAAGAAGCACCGGCUAACUGCGUG